AUUGAACGCUGGCGGCAUGCCUUACACAUGCAAGUCGAACGACAGCACGGGGCAACCUGGUGGCGAGUGGCGAACGGGUGAGUAAUGCAUCGGAACGUGCCAUUGAGUGGGGGAUAACGUAGCGAAAGUUGCGCUAAUACCGCAUAUUCUGUGAGCAGGAAAGCAGGGGGACCGCAAGGCCUUGCGCUCUUUGAGCGGCCGAUGUCAGAUUAGCUAGUUGGUGAGGUAACGGCUUACCAAGGCGACGAUCUGUAGCGGGUCUGAGAGGAUGAUCCGCCACACUGGAACUGAGACACGGUCCAGACUCCUACGGGAGGCAGCAGUGGGGAAUUUUGGACAAUGGGCGCAAGCCUGAUCCAGCCAUGCCGCGUGAGUGAAGAAGGCCUC
rnacentral:rRNA from 1 species